GGGACAGGCACUCUCAGCGCUCCAUUGCUCAAAAAAAUGCAAAAUGGGAUGAACCCUGUGUGGUCGAAUUCAGCAAUAUCCAUUUUAUUUACACAAGGAUUCACUCUUGGACUCAGCCAUCCCACUUCCGGGCCUAAAUUACAAAGUGCUGAUGACAGAAGAAGCGACGCAAAGCGCGGAGCCCUUGGUGGUCUCAGGAUUUGUAAGAGCAAAGGACUGUCUGGAAAUAGCCUGUGACUGUUGGGAGCGGAGUCUCCUGAGAGAAAGUGGCUGGGGAGGCUCGAAAAAGGCAGAAGUUAAAAUCAGUUGCGAUUUGUCAAUGUAGUGGAAUUACCCCCCUCUUCCUCUCUAUGCUGUGACUUCAACCGCCUAAGUGUGGGGGAGGUGGUGGCGACAUAAAGACACAGUACCUACAUGAAAAUGGAAUUGUCCAUCGUGAUCUCAAGCCAGAGAAUCUUCUCUAUGCAACUCCAGCCCCAGAUGCAGCACUCAAAAUUGAUGACCUAAUAAAAGAAUACUGUUUGGGAAGAUGCCUCAAGAACCAGCAUCAACAUUCUGUUCAAAGCAGGCUGAAUUGGGAAGCGCAAUAGAGACAUACCUAAUUUAAUCUAAGGUGGAG